rnacentral:lncRNA from 1 species
ACUACAAUUACACUUUUCAUACCCAACAGGACUUGAGAUUUAUACCUGGAGUACAAUGUUCCUGGCAUGUGUGAAAAGUUCACGGACACAUUCUAAUCAUUGCUUCAUAUCCUCCUAGGUUACCCCUGCCCAGCCACAGUCUUGGUGAGCAGUUCUGAGUGAGCUUUCAACUUUAUGCUGCCAAGUUCUUGUCUCAAGCUUAAGCUGCACAUCUUUUGCCUUCUGCCCUGCGGCUUCUCUGAAGUCACAGUGUGGACACCCAGGGAGACACUUUGCAUUCCCAUGCCAACAGAAGAAUUAAUACCAAAGGACGUGAGGCCAGCUCAAGGAACAGCAGUGUGAUAUGUUUGGGGAACCUGACAAGAUUUCAAUGUGAACACAGAGAUGACACAGGUAGGAGUUGGAGAAAGAAGAUCCUCUGUGCUUGACAUGAUCAGAAAGAUAGGAGGAGAAAAUGAGAUCAACUGAAAUGCUAGGUCUCAAAUCAUAUUCA